rnacentral:misc_RNA from 1 species
GAAAGAUAUCAUUUCCUGCACCACAAUACAUAAAAUACACUCAGUUCACCUCACAGGGUUAAAUUGGUCAAAAUUCUCAAUGCCUAUAAGCAAUGCGAAAAACAUCCCAGACGCAAUGGAUAGAAAUCCUACGCCAAGCAAUACACCAUAAUCAUGCAUGUGCAUUGCAGAUAUGUCUCCGCCCUUAAGUGAUACUUCCUCCCUAAACAUAUUAGGAUCAUUAAUAAUAAGACAAAGUGUUUGCUGGUUCUUCUGUGUAAUCCUGCACGUAAUUCAUACACUUGUAUUUAUCUUAACGUCAAUUUGUCAAUGUUGAAUCCCACUGAAACUUGCAAAUGAUCCCAAAAAAAAAUCAACAUAAUUGAAAUCGAUAUAAUCAAUUUUAAGAAGAAAUAUCUAACAUGUUUUGAACCCUGAAAAACAGGAAUCUAAUUCAAUUGGAGUUCAUAUCACUGAAGCAGACAAUUAAAAAUGAAAGAAUUCAAUACUUGCAUACAGUUCCAACUCGAAUCAGUUUUGGUUGAAUAAGAAAUAUUUGAUUUAAAAAUCUAUUUUCUUCCUCGUCUGAAUAGAAAAAAUCUUAAAAGUACUUU